rnacentral:rRNA from 1 species
CACGUAGGCGGAUCGAUCAGUUAGGGGUGAAAGCCCCGGGCUCAACCUGGGAACUGCAUCCAAAACUGGCAAGCUAGAGUACGGUAGAGGGUGGUGGAAUUUCCUGUGUAGCGGUGAAAUGCGUAGAUAUAGGAAGGAACACCAGUGGCGAAGGCGACCACCUGGACUGAUACUGACACUGAGGUGCGAAAGCGUGGGGAGCAAACA